rnacentral:rRNA from 1 species
AUACGUAGGGGGCGAGCGUUGUCCGGAAUGAUUGGGCGUAAAGGGCGCGUAGGCGGCCCGGUAAGUCUGGAGUGAAAGUCCUGCUUUCAAGGUGGGAAUUGCUUUGGAUACUGCCGCGCUUGAGUGCAGGAGAGGUUAUCGGAAUUCCCGGUGUAGCGGUGAAAUGCGUAGAGAUCGGGAGGAACACCAGUGGCGAAGGCGGGUAACUGGACUGCAACUGACGCUGAGGCGCGAAAGUGUGGGGAGCAAACAGGAUUAGAUACCCUGGUAGUCCACGCUGUAAACGAUGAAUGCUAGGUGUAAGAGGUAUCGACCCCUUUUGUGCCGGAGUCAACACAAUAAGCAUUCCGCCUGGGGAGUACGGCCGCAAGGUUGAAACUCAAAUGAAUUGGCGGGG